rnacentral:rRNA from 1 species
GCGUGGAUGAAGAGCGAAAGGUUGUAAAAUCCUUUGUUGGGAAGAUAAGCGUGGAGGAAUGCCCGCGUGAUGACAUGAACCGACGAAUAAGUCCCGGCUAACUACGUGCCAGCAGCCGCGGUAACACGUAGGGGACAAGCGUUAUUCGGAAUUACUGGGCGUAAAGGGCAUGUAGGCGGCCUGAUAAGCCUGGCGUGAAAGUCAUCGGCUUAACCGGUGGAUUGCGUCGGGAACUGUUGGGCUUGAGUCAUGGAGAGGAAGGCAGAAUUCCUGGUGUAGGGGUGAAAUCUGUAGAGAUCAGGAAGAAUACCAGUGGCGAAGGCGGCCUUCUGGCCAAUGACUGACGCUGAGGUGCGAAAGUGUGGGGAUCAAACAGGAUUAGAUACCCUGGUAGUCCACACUGUAAACGAUGUGCACUAGGUGCUGGGGCGGAUGCUUCAGUGCCGGAGCUAACGCGGUAAGUGCACCGCCUGGGGAGUAUGCUCGCAAGGGUGAAAACUCAAAGGAAUUGACGGGGGC